rnacentral:rRNA from 1 species
AUGGACGGGGCGGGGGUGGGGGAGCUCGCGCGCGGAGCGUCUGCCCUAGCACUCCCUCUGGCAGGUGCAGCGCCUGAUUUUGCAGUAGCCGGCCGUCCAUUUUGCGCCGUGCUCGCUGAGGCACGUCUUGGUGCAGCUCUUGUCCGAGACGCACGGGAACGAGUGGUGCUGGCUCUUCCCCGUGCAAAUGCGCGCCUCCGCCACGCCGAUGCCACCGCCGCCGCUGCUUACUCACAGGAGGAAAGCAGGAGCAGCACCAGCAUCACCGCGCACACGGUCGCCUUGGGCUUGAACUCCAUUUGCUUCUGUGGGGGUAGGUAG